UACGGGGGGGGCAAGCGUUGUUCGGAAUUACUGGGCGUAAAGGGCUCGUAGGCGGCCAACUAAGUCAGACGUGAAAUCCCUCGGCUUAACCGGGGAACUGCAUCUGAUACUGGAUGGCUUGAGUUCGGGAGAGGGAUGUGGAAUUCCAGGUGUAGCGGUGAAAUGCGUAGAUAUCUGGAGGAACACCGGUGGCGAAGGCGGUUCUCUGGGCAUGUCCUGACGCUGAGGAGCGAAAGUGUGGGGAGCGAACAGG
rnacentral:rRNA from 1 species